rnacentral:lncRNA from 1 species
ACGGCUUGCGGACCUUUUUCCCUUCGCUGCUUUCCACCGGUCUCGGCAGGGUCUGAGGACUCCGGAGAGCAAGGCAUGAGUCCGCCUCGUGCCGCAGGUUCCUGGCCCACGCCAGCUGGACCCAGUAGCACCAUGGGUGAGCUCUGAGGACUUCACGGGGGCCCCAUCUCCUUACCUAGAUGAGGGCUAACCUUGGAAUCCAGACAAAGGUGGAAGUGACCUAGAUGUGACCUGGAUGACCUGAUCAUCUAAGGAGAGCCUGCCCUUUGUCCUGCCCUUGUGAAGGGCUUUGCUGCUGUGCACUGACAAGUUGGGACGGCUUUUUAUUGCUUUGUUGCCAGUUAUCUGAACAUGAGAGGCUAUAAGGUGUAAUCUAUGCGAGCUGACUGCCCUACGCCCAGACUGAACCAGGGCCUCACUUGACUGAGUAUUAGACAAUGUAAUAAAAACUUACCUUGCCCAGACUAUAUAAUGGCUUGGAAAUGCACAGUUUCCCGAAAGAUCUCAAUAAAAUACUUUUAAAAGGA